rnacentral:lncRNA from 1 species
CAGUGUUAUGGAAGACGCGAUUAGGCGUCCGCCUAGGCGGGAAAAACCUCAAGGCACCGGCAAAACGCCUCGCCUCGGGCAAGGCGAUGAAAUAAGGCGGCCGACCGAGAAAUGACUAAGAAAUCGCGCGAAAUCGAUGAGGAAUCGAUUUCCGCGACGCCGAGGCGGCGAAAUCUGCUAUUAGGCGUUAAAACUAAGAAUAAAAAA